rnacentral:tRNA from 1 species
GCUCCGAUGGUGUAGCCCGGUCAAGCAUACGAGCCUCUCGAGCUCGGGGCCCGGGUUCAAAUCCCGGUCGGAGCA